ensembl:snRNA U6 U6 spliceosomal RNA
GUGCUCACUUUGGCAGCACAUAUGCUAAAAUUGGAAUGAUACAGAGAAGAUUAGCAUGGCCCACAUGCAAGGAUGUCAGGCAAAUUUGUGAAGCGUUCCAUAUUUUU